rnacentral:misc_RNA from 1 species
UUAAUUUUGCAGGAGUGUGAACUACGUUCAUUUAGUUUAUAAAGUAUAUAUUCAUAAAAUAAUUUUUAGUAUUGGUAAUAAACAAAGAAUUUAGCUAAAUAAUACGAAAAAUUACGAAGACGAUAUGCUGGAUUGUGCUUUUGUAACACCGAUAUCUCUAUCGAACCAAUAAACCUCAGUGAAUAGAGAGGUUAUUUGCGAAAUGGAGUUUAAUGAAUUAAUUUUAGCAAGUAUUUCCGUUAUUAUAUGGCACCAUCAAUUAAUAUUAGAAUGGAAACGACGAAAAGAAAGACGAGAACAUCGUAAAAGAAGGAGAUGGUGGAUUCGUCCCAUAAAUCAAUUUAAAGUUCAACAAGGUUAUCAGACAAAUCUUGUAAGAGAAAUGGAGACGCAAGACCAUGAUGUAUUUUUUCAAAAUUUUCGCAUGUGGCCAGAGCAUUUUAAUUGGCUACUUAAUCAAGUGCAAGAUAAAUUAUUAAAGCGAAGCAGGAGGACUCCAUUGUGUCUUAAACUGCGUUUACAGGUGACACUCUUAUAUCUGGCUCUAGGAGACUCUAUUUUAAGUAAAUAUACUGAGUUUCGCAUAGGGAGAUCAACAGUGUACACGAUAAUCCUUGAGACCUGCCAAGCAAUUUGAGAAGCAUUACAACCAACUUUUCUCCCAACUAUGGAUAAAAAUUCAUGGAAUACAGUGGCACAGGGAUUUAUGGAUAAAUGGCAGUUCCCUAAUUGCGUCGGUGCCAUUGAUGGGAAACACAUACGCAUUAAAGCCCCUCCUAUGUCAGGAUCCCAAUUUUACAAUUAUAAAGGAUUUUUAGCAUGGUAAUUAUGGCUGCUUGCGAUGGAGAAUAUAAGUUUACAUGGGUGGAUAUUGGGCAGUACAGUUCAUUGAAUGAUGG